AUAGGAUUGGUGAAAUAACAUUUGUUGGACACAUAUCUGGCACUGAGGAUGAAGUAUGCAUACUAACCAACAGUAGAGGACUUAAGCACGGUGGUUCACUUGGUUGUGACAAAGGACCUGUAUCAAGAGUAGAGUCAAUAUGUGGUAAUCAUGAGUCAAAAGUACUAACAUGUGAUGUAGUAGGAGAAUCGAAAGCCGAUUUAAAUGAAAAAGAAUUCUCAUUGAAAACAUGACGAGAAAUAAGAAAUUUUUUACUA
rnacentral:lncRNA from 1 species